AUUGAACGCUGGCGGCAGGCCUAACACAUGCGAGUCGAGCGGAUGAAGGGAGCUUGCUCCUGGAUUCAGCGGCGGACGGGUGAGUAAUGCCUAGGAAUCUGCCUGGUAGUGGGGGAUAACGUCCGGAAACGGGCGCUAAUACCGCAUACGUCCUGAGGGAGAAAGUGGGGGAUCUUCGGACCUCACGCUACCAGAUGAGCCUAGGUCGGAUUAGCUAGUUGGUGGGGUAAAGGCCUACCAAGGCGACGAUCCGUAACUGGUCUGAGAGGAUGAUCAGUCACACUGGAACUGAGACACGGUCCAGACUCCUACGGGAGGCAGCAGUGGGGAAUAUUGGACAAUGGGCGAAAGCCUGAUCCAGCCAUGCCGCGUGUGUGAAGAAGGUCUUCGGAUUGUAAAGCACUUUAAGUUGGGAGGAAGGGCAGUAAGUUAAUACCUUGCUGUUUUGACGUUACCAACAGAAUAAGCACCGGCUAACUUCGUG
rnacentral:rRNA from 1 species